ACUGCUCAGUAACACGUGGAUAACCUAACCUGAAGCGGGGGAUAAUCUCGGAAAACUGAGGAUAAUACCCCAUAGGUCUUCGAUACUGGAAUGUUCCUAGGCUGAAAGCUAAGGCGCUUCAGGAUGGGUCUGCGGCCUAUCAGGUUGUAGUGAGUGUAAAGGACUCACUAGCCGACGACGGGUACGGGCCAUGGGAGUGGUAGCCCGGAGAUGGACUCUGAGACACGAGUCCAGGCCCUACGGGGCGCAGCAGGCGCGAAAACUUCGCAAUGCGCGGAAGCGCGACGAGGGGAUUCCAAGUGCAUGCACUCUGUGUAUGCUGUUUACUAGUUUAAAACGCUAGUAGAGUAAGGGCUGGGUAAGACUGGUGCCAGCCGCCGCGGUAAUACCAGCGGCCCUAGUGGUGAUCGUUAUUAUUGGGCCUAAAGCGUCCGUAGCCGGUCCGGUAAAUCUCUGGGUAAAUCGUUGGGCUUAACUCAACGAAUUCUGGGGAGACUGCCGGACUUGGGACCGGGAGAGGUCGGAGGUACUCCAGGGGUAGGGGUGAAAUCCUGUAAUCCUUGGGGGACCACCGGUGGCGAAGGCGUCCGACCAGAACGGGUCCGACGGUAAGGGACGAAGCCCUGGGGCGCGAACCGGAUUAGAUACCCGGGUAGUCCAGGGUGUAAACGCUGUGCGCUUGGUGUUGGGGGUCCUCCGUGGGCAUCCAGUGCCGGAGAGAAGUUGUUAAGCGCACCGCCUGGGGAGUACGGUCGCAAGACUGAAACUUAAAGGAAUUGGCGGGGGAGCACAGCAACGGGAGGAGCGUGCGGUUUAAUUGGA
rnacentral:rRNA from 1 species